CAGUCGCCACGGUAAUACAGAGGGUGCAAGCGUUAAUCGGAAUUACUGGGCGUAAAGCGCGCGUAGGUGGUUUGUUAAGUUGGAUGUGAAAGCCCCGGGCUCAACCUGGGAACUGCAUCCAAAACUGGCAAGCUAGAGUACGGUAGAGGGUGGUGGAAUUUCCUGUGUAGCGGUGAAAUGCGUAGAUAUAGGAAGGAACACCAGUGGCGAAGGCGACCACCUGGACUGAUACUGACACUGAGGUGCGAAAGCGUGGGGAGCAAACAGGAUUAGAUACCCCCGUAGUCCCUGUCUCUUAUAA
rnacentral:rRNA from 1 species